AAUAACGGCCUCGAGAACGAAAUGAUCCGAUAACCCGUUUGAGCUUAGCCUUGUCAGUUUAAAUUGAUCUGACAUGACCUUGUCGGAUACGUAGAUGUGAUCUAUCCUGCUUUUUGAUGUUUUUCCCCGAUAGUCUCUGACAAAGACCUUUAAUUCUGAAAUGUUCGGGAAUCCAGAUUCUGAUGUGAAGUCUCGUUUUGAUUUUUCUGCCACAUUGAAGUCGCCGGCUAUUAUGACCUUCUCCUUUUUAGGAUUACAUUUAAACUUUGCUAAAUUUGUAUUAAAAAAAUUUUUCUCUCCAGAUGGAAUAUAUACACCUAAAAUCUUGUA
rnacentral:lncRNA from 1 species